UCCCGGGCCGCGCCUGCGCCGUGUGCGGUGCGGCCGCGGUGGGCUGAGCGGCGCCAAACGGUGCUGGGUGUCCCGGCUCCUUGCCGAAUCCUCGCUGCGUGCCUGCGCUCUGCAGGCUGAGAGAGGGUGCGCAUCCGGCCCCCACAGGCCUGCAAGGCAUUUAGUCUUCCAGGUAUUCCGCAUUGCGGUGUAGGCCCUCCCCCUCCCCCCCCCCUCCGUUCUCCGGGGCAAAGGGGAAGCAGGGAUGGCCCGCCCUUGCUGCGAUGACGCUGCUAGACGAGCACAUGUCACGCCCACCUACCUUUCCACGACUGACCCGGUGGCACAGGCUGCUCUCAGUCGGAUACCUAGUGACGUUGCACGCAGUACUCACGUCAUUGGAGUGAAUGCGGGCUCGCACCACCCGAUGCGGGGCACGAAGGGGCGACCCGGCCUGACGGAGACCAUUCUGCACGGUUGGGCUCAGUGUCUCAUGUGCAUGACGUGCGCAGGCGAUGAUGACGACGCCCCGACACGGCACGGCGCAGACGGAGCCACGGAGACGUCCCCGCGCGUCACCCUGGCGCUCGACUGCGUCAUGUGCGACUGGGGCACCGCCCCCCGCGGCGACCCGGAUAGCGCAGCAAGGGGAGGGAAGGCGGGAUCGUCCAUGCCGUCGCGCCCACCACAACCCCACCACACGGACGCACAACUGCAGAGUAUCCGUCAAGGAUGCAUCACAGCCGGUGCCUACUAGCAGCAGCCACCGAGAAAGCUGCCCCAUGUGGUAAGGCCGCUUGUAGACUGCUCUGGACGCGGAAACUGACGCACAUGAAAGCCGCCCUUGAUGCGGUGCCCUCUGCGUCGCCGGUGCGCUGCCUUCUCGCGGGUAUGCUCCUGAAAGAGCUCCGAGGAACCAGGGUUGAGGGAUGGGUGCAGGCCUGCAACGCUCUCACCGCCAGAGGCUCUCGAUAGUGGGCGUGGAUACGGGCUAUUCAUGCUCCCUCCCCUCCCCUCUCCCCACACCACCACUCAUUCUGCAUGUGCGCUGUGCGCGCCAGCGACGAGACAGGGUGACCGCUACCUCUGCGCGAGAGAGCAGGCCAACAUGUUGGUGAAGAUGUACCUAGAGACGUCGGCGCACCAUCUGGAAGACACACCUGAACUGCAGCAGUCCGGCUCCCGUCCUUACCGCUCGCCUGCGCUCACGACUCACAUGGAGCAGCCGAGGAGCCCCCGUUUCCGUGCGGAGUCCCACAAAGGUGUGCCCGAGGGCCUCGCGUCUUCAUUGUGGCGGGCCCGCGGCGUGUGGAGCUCCACCCGAUCACCGAACUGCGCCGUCGGGUCCUCCAGACUCCCAUGUGGAGGGUCGCCGCAUCACAUUGUGGAAUGCCGCGGCCUGAGGCGCCUUCCUGCUCGAGCUCACCCGGCAUGUACGCCGGCCACCCACCUCUUUCCUCCCCCUACCGUGUUACCCGCGGCACGGACACCCCCGCCACUGCCGUGGAGCAGGGCCCUGGACGCGGCCCGGUGCAACUGCAGCCGGCCCGCCCUCGACGACCAGGAUGUGGGCGUCGCGCGACAAUGGCCGGGUGAGCUGUAAUUGUGGGUGCUCGGGUAGGGGGGUGAAUAUAUAUAUAUAUUCGUAUGUUGGCCGCUGCGUGCAAUGUGAACAUGAGAAGACCUUGUGCUGUAUUUCCAAUCAUGGCUGUGAGUUGGCGGCGCUUGUCGGUUGAUAUACCUAUAUAUGCACUGUGCCGCAGAUGAUGUCUUCGGUGUAACGUUUUUUUUUCCGCUUGUGUCCGCGGGUUACGAUUUUGUGGGGUGUUUGAAUAGCUUCACUGUUCUCCUGGAUUUUGCUAUGUUCUUGACUGGGCGAUAGCCCUGUGUGUGUGUGUGUGUCGGCGACUUAGUGCAGUAUAUAUAUAUAUAUAUAUGCAUUUUUUACAGUCUCCCCCUCGCUCAUCUCUCUCGAGCCUGCGAAGCUCCCGUGCCCAUUCACUUCUUUGUGCUGUGCAUGUGUGUGUGUGUGUGUGGGGGCUGCUUCGUUGUUGAGAAAGGCGAGAUGAACAGUCGUGCGCAGAUGCUUGUAUGCAUUCCCCUCCCCUUACCCCACCUUUUUUUACAUGUGAUGGCUGUUUUACGCUUUCGCGCGUGUUCUCGCGGUUGACC
rnacentral:misc_RNA from 1 species